rnacentral:rRNA from 1 species
UACGUAGGGGGCAAGCGUUGUCCGGAAUCAUUGGGCGUAAAGAGCGUGUAGGCGGUUCGGUAAGUCGGCUGUGAAAGUCCAGGGCUCAACCCUGGGAUGCCGGUCGAUACUGCCGGACUAGAGUUCGGAAGAGGCGAGUGGAAUUCCCGGUGUAGCGGUGAAAUGCGCAGAUAUCAGGAGGAACACCGAUUGCGAAGGCAGCUCGCUGGGACGUUACUGACGCUGAGACGCGAAAGCGUGGGGAGCAAACAGG